rnacentral:rRNA from 1 species
UACGUAGGGUGCGAGCGUUGUCCGGAAUUACUGGGCGUAAAGAGCUCGUAGGUGGUUUGUCGCGUUGUUCGUGAAAACUCACAACUCAAUUGUGGGCGUGCGGGCGAUACGGGCAGACUGGAGUACUGCAGGGGAGACUGGAAUUCCUGGUGUAGCGGUGGAAUGCGCAGAUAUCAGGAGGAACACCGGUGGCGAAGGCGGGGUCUCUGGGCAGUAACUGACGCUGAGGAGCGAAAGCGUGGGGGAGCGAA